rnacentral:rRNA from 1 species
UACGUAGGGGGCAAGCGUUGUCCGGAAUUAUUGGGCGUAAAGAGCGUGUAGGCGGUCCGGUAAGUCAGCUGUGAAAGUCAAGGGCUCAACCCUUGAAAGCCGGUUGAUACUGUCGGGCUAGAGUCCGGAAGAGGCGAGUGGAAUUCCCGGUGUAGCGGUGAAAUGCGCAGAUAUCGGGAGGAACACCAAUGGCGAAGGCAGCUCGCUGGGACGGUACUGACGCUGAGGUGCGAAAGCGUGGGGAGCAAACGGG